GGGGCUGGGGCUCAGUGGUAGAGCGCUUGCUUAGCAUGCAUGAGGCACUAGGUUUGAUUCUCAGCACCA
rnacentral:tRNA from 1 species